CUUCUCCAGCAGCUCCCUCUCCAGACUGGUGAGAGAGGGAAGAGAAAAGAAGAGAUCAAGAAGGAUUAGACACCACAGUGUCCCAGCUGGUUCUGAUUGAAGGGUAGGGUCCAAGGGACUGGGGCAAAGCCUGGCUGUCCUGGAACAGGAGAGAGGGAGAGAGAGAACGAGAGUGAGCAGAACGUGCUCAGUGCCCUGGACCGACAGUGAGGUGGUGACGGGGCUGCGCUCUCCCUGUAAGGCAGACGCAUCACACUCGGAGACCCAACACAAUGGCUUCCAGUUUGUGAAUACAUUGUGUUGAAUCUACAUAUGGCAGCCCAGCGAAUGCAGGCUUCAGAGGCACUGUGGACUCCCAGAGAUCUUGUGCCUUGUAGGCCAUUUUCUGUCAAUACUGUGACCUGUUACUUUUUUUUUUUUUAAUUUUGUCUAGAUCCUUUCUGGCUGUGCUAUGGCUGUGAAGGACCUAAGGCCAACAGUUGGGAAAGCAGACAUGCAUCUCAUCCUUGUUUUAGCCUUCCAAGAGAGAACAAGGGAUUUCUUUCAGGGCAGGAAAUCCUUGAGACUGCUUAGUUCCCCUUGUCAGACUGAGGCCACAAGUACCACAAAGACAAGAGUCAACCUCGUCAAAGGGCUUUGCCAUCGUUGCUGGAGUGAGCGGAAUCAGCAGCAGGGGCGGUGCUGGUUCCCCCUCGCCUGUGAACCCUGGGGCUAUUUGGCCCUCAGGGUCUUUCUUUCAGGUGCUCUCCCCACAUUGUACCCUUGCUUAUUAGCCGUCCUCGUUCAUUGUUACCUGGGGCUCAGCGAUUCUUGUUCUUCCUCCUCGUCAUCGUCUUCCAGGUUUUCUGCAAACAAAAUCCAGACAGAGAUGAAAUAGUGCCCCUUCACCCGCUACAGACACAAAGGCCUGCCUGGGCACGGACAGCAAUGGCCUGUGUAUGAGGUCAGGACACACUGAGAGAAUUGUACUGACAGCCCCAUGUGUGACUUUGAAGGAAUGGCCUGGGAUGGUGUCCUGACCCAUCAGGCAGAAUGUCCUUGAUCUGCUGGAUCCCCAUCCUGGCGUGCUCUGAGUUUAACUGGCUCCCUGCCGAGCCCAGAGGCACAAAGAUAACAGAAUAUUAGACGAGGAAAGACCGGACACCGCAACUUCCCCACUGGUUCUGAUUGGAAGACUAAGGGAGAGGUCACAGAAGAUCAAUACAACAAAGUUCUCUUCCCUGAACCUGGGCAAAGAGUUCAACGCAUUCUUCCCGAGGUCAUGAGGAGCUCAUCUAGUUGCUUUCUGGAAAGGCUGUGGCAAGAUUCAGCUCUUAUUCCAUCAGAUAUGCUGGCUGCUGUUGGUUUGGAGGAAGUUCUACACCGAGGCUAGACUGAUGGAUGGAAUUGAAUCACUCCUAAAGAGGAAAGAAUCUAUGGUGCCACCUAGAGAACAGGAUUCUUGCUAUUCAAAGUGGUGGGGGGUGCCAGGGUUCACACCACGCCCUGGGUGGUAAGUUUCCAGACACAUUCAAGAGGUGUUUAUCUUUUGACGCUUAGAUGGCUCCCUACUGAGGAGAAACCAACUUAGAGGAGACAGAGACUGCUGUUUGCAGUGGAGCGGGCAUGGUAACGGGGAUGACAGAGAUUUGGCCUGGGACUCGGAAGAGUGUUGAACUACCUGACCCACCUGAUGUGUGUGCUUAAAACUGAGUCCUAGAUUCUGACUGAAACCAAGAUGGGUCUCCAAGGCCUGCC